rnacentral:rRNA from 1 species
UACGAAGGGUGCAAACGUUGCUCGGAAUCAUUGGGCGUAAAGCGCACGUAGGCGGCUUGCCAAGUCGGACGUGAAAUCCCUCAGCUCAACUGAGGACGUGCAUCCGAAACUGGCGAGCUUGAGUACUGAAGAGGAUCGCGGAAUUCCCGGUGUAGAGGUGAAAUUCGUAGAUAUCGGGAGGAACACCAGUGGCGAAGGCGGCGAUCUGGGCAGAUACUGACGCUGAGGUGCGAAAGCGUGGGGAGCGAACAGG